CAAUGUAGGCAAGGGAAGUCG
rnacentral:sRNA from 1 species